UAUGACCAUAUCAUGUUGAAACACCAGUUCUUGUAUGAUCACCAAAAUUAAGCAAUGUUGUGCCUGGUCAGUACUGAAAUGGGUGACCGCUUGGGAAUACCAAGUGUUGUAA